GGGGUGUUAGUAAAACAAUUACAUAGCCUUGUCGAGACUAAAUUGCAGGUGAAAUCCCGGCACACUCCA
rnacentral:tRNA from 1 species